rnacentral:miRNA from 1 species
CAUAUACUGCAUAAUCAAAGUUG